GACGAACGCUGGCGGCGUGCCUAAUACAUGCAAGUCGAACGCAGUGGGGACGGGUGAGUAACACGUGGGUAACCUCCCAUCAGAGGGGAUAACACUUGGAAACAGGUGCUAAACCGAUACUGAUGGAUGGACCCGCGGUGCAUUAGCUAGUGUGUGAGGUAACGGCUCACCAAGGCCACGAGGCAUAGCCGACCUGGAGGGGGAGUCGGCCACACUGGGACGGAGACACGGCCCAGACUCCGACGGGAGGCAGCAGUAGGGAAACUUCGGAAAUGGACUAAAGUCUGACCGGGCAAGGCGGCGGGAGUGAAGAAGGUUUUCGGAUCGUAAAACUCUGUUGUUAGAGAAGCGGUAUCUAACCAGAAAGCCACGGCUAACUACGUGCCAGCAGCCGCGGUAAUAC
rnacentral:rRNA from 1 species